rnacentral:lncRNA from 1 species
AUUUGAAGUGUUAUUUGGUUUCAACAUGGGAGACAGAUUGGCCACGCAACUGCAUUUUUCAUAAUUUUAAAAAUUGCUUGAUGGCUCUCAAAGUUUUAGGUGAUCCUUUUGAUCCUUUGUGAUCAGUUUCCUAAAUGCUACUGAAGUCAUCUGUUUAUAAACUGAAAAAUGCUUUGCACUUUUCCCAUUUUAAAUCUUUGUCUCUAUCUGCACACAUGUAUUUUAUAUACAGUCUAUCCUAGCAGAGAACUUGUUAUGCAAAUAUUUACAUUUACCUUAUUUUUGCUCCUCUACAAGUAAAUAAUGGAUUUGAAUAAGAUGCAAUUGAAAUAAAAAGAUCAUCUGGAGUUUAUAUCAUACUUUGAAAGAUAUUAACUGUAUAUAAAGAAAAAACUUUUUUACACACUUAGUCAUAGUGUCCGUUGCUUCCAUUUAUAGUACCUGGGACGUAAUUUGAGAAG